rnacentral:lncRNA from 1 species
GUCUUGAACGCGAUGACCGGGUCUGAAGCCACCGUUUCUGGGGAGUUCAAACCGUCAAAGCCUAUGGCAUUUCCGGCAGCUCCGUAGUUGUAGUUCCAGGUGAGUUGGAGUGGUCCGCGCCCGUAGUACUGCUUGGCAGGGUUGCAUGGGUAGUCUGUUCUGCUUCCGUCGCAGUAGGUGUCCUUAUUUAUCUCUUCUAUGUAGCAAAAGUCUGAUCGAUUCCAUGCAAUAAUCAUUAACAAAACAAUCAAAUUAAUAUAUAUCAAAUCCAACAUAUUCUAGAUUAAUUGAUGAGGUACUUACGGCCAGUCUCAUGAGUGACAUGAGCAAAGAAAGCUGCAAUUUCGCGUUUAUUGUCAUCAGCAGAGCCGGUGGUAGCGAAAUCGGUGUAAGAGGCAAGGGCGUCGAGAAAAGCCUGUCUGGUGUAGAAGCUCUUGCCGGUGCAGUCAGCGGCAGCCUGGUUAAUAAUCCCGUUAAAGAAGUCGGCAGUCACGAUAUCUGCCACCGAGUUUUGAGCCGUGGCAAUUUGGGCUACAAAUGCUAAUAGUCCUAGGAUUGUCACGACUGCAGCUUGGAAAUUAGCCAUCUUGAUUUUGGUCUCUCUCGAUCGAUCUCGAUCUAUAGGUGUGUAGAUUUCAGAGUUGGUGCAUUAACUAAGCUGUUGGAACUGGGUAUUUAUAGGAGGAAUAUGCAUGGCAUGGAUGAUCGGGUAAUAUAUCUAGCUAGUUAGGUCGACGUCAAUUUAGAGAAGAACUUACAGUUUGGUUUGAAAUUUCAACAUACAUGUAAUGUAAUAUAUAUACGUGUCUGUGAUCUAGAACAAUUGACUAUUGACGUGCAAAAGAUGUGACUUGCAGAUCGGUUUUGAUUCUUAAUAUAUAUGCGAAGAAUCGUUUGGUUUUUAGCUAGCUCACUAGCUUAAUUAGCUUGCAAAGAAAUUUCCACUGUUGCCGAUGCCGGUCAUCAUCAAUAACCAUAUAUUACUAAUGAUCCAAAUAGAUAGGGUGCAUUCUUUCUACACGCACGCAUUUACCAGAAGGAAAGUUGUAGCCUGCUUGAUGCUUGCAGUCGGAUGACCAACAGAUGCAUGACCUCCAUCCCCAUGUAGAUUUUCCUCAACUUGUGCACGGAAAGUAGACGGAACUCGGGAACCUCUAAAAACCGGAAGUCUUAUAACAUCGUACCAUCUUAACCUCCUCAGGAUCGCCCUUAGCUGCUAGUAGAAAUAAACAAAACCCCCGUUUGGUUCGUGAAAAGAAAAGUCAUUCAUUUGUCUUUCCUAUUGAAAAAGAAAGAGAAAGGAAAUAAAAUUUCUCAAGCACUUUCUGAUGUUCGGUAACAUAUGGAAAAUUGUUUAAAAAAUUUGUAACUAGUGUAGUAGAAUAAUGUAGAGUACGGUUAUUGGGACCUCCAAAUUUGCUCACUUGACCUCACGUAAUUGUGAAUUAUUGAAUGACAUAUUUCUCCUCGUAUAAAAUGACUAUUAAGGACAAUAGUUAUAUAAAAGGAAGUAUUACAUUUAUUCCCUUUAGACUUUCCAAUUCAAUAAUGAUAGAUUGCAUUAUUUAUUAUUUUCCUUAUAUAUUUUCAUUUCUAAUUUUACUACAUAUUAUUGAAGCAUUCAUAUAUUUAAUAAGAGCUAAAACUAUGAUCAAUAUCGAUCAUGUGUGACACAAAAAAUUUCUAUUAUCAUAUGUGUUAAACGUAUGUACGAGAUCACAAAAUUAUUUACAAAGAAAAAAAAGAUCAAUUAUGAAUAAUUAAAUAACUAUUGAAAUAAUCUAUUAUGCGGUAUCAAAAUAGAAAAAAAAAAUUAAUAUACAUAGAGAAAAAUGGUUAUUCUUGAUCUUCGUUCAGGAGAGGUACAAUAGAAAACAAAACGUUAAUUCAUGUUAGAACAUUUUCUUGUUGUUAAAAAUAAAUUUUUGAAACCCUAUACAUUGAGCUUCUAUUUUUAUUUUUAAGAAAUUUACGUUAUUAAAUUAAGGAAUCAAAUCGUAAUUAAGAAAUGUCGAAUGCAAAAAUUAAUUAUAGUGAGUAAAAUUUGUUCUAGGAUAUUCUCUAUGUGUGCCUUGGCCUUAUGCCAAUAGGAUAUGUAGUUAGACUAGAUCUAUGUAUUCAUAUCCUUUACCAUAUUGGUAUUGUGUAAUUCCCUAUAUAAAGGGCUCCUAUCAAUGAAUAAGAUGACUCUCUUGCUAUCUCUUUGUCUCUACACUUUAUUCUUCAUCACGUUAUCAUGCACUUUGUUCUAACCCUAGAGCCAAUAGCCCACCAUUUUUUUUNNNNNNNNNNNNNNNNNNNNAAAUUUUUGAAACCCUAUACAUUGAGCUUCUAUUUUUAUUUUUAAGAAAUUUACGUUAUUAAAUUAAGGAAUCAAAUCGUAAUUAAGAAAUGUCGAAUGCAAAAAUUAAUUAUAGUGAGUAAAAUUUUUAUUUUAGAGAUAAUGAUUCAUUAUUAAAAAUUAUAUAGUGAGGUUAUUUGAGGAACUUAAGUGAGGUUUAGUGAGUAAAUAUACUAUUUGAAAAUUUGAUAGGAGGUGUAAAAAGCAUAGGAGGUCUAAUGAGCAAAUUUAGAGGUCUCAAUAGCCGUAUUCAAUAAUGUAUUGUGAGUAAUAAAUACAAGAGAACUAGAUGAGAAACAUAUUCAUAGAUUUUGGAGAGAACCAAUUUCCCUUCUAUUCUCGUUUCUUUCAAGAAAGUAUUUCAUUUUCUUCGUAAAACAAAUGAGAAAAAAAUACAAGGUUGAAGAUACACGAUUCAUUUCUUAAUGAGAAAUAACACAAUAAAUGAAUAACUUUUCUUUAUUGAUACUUACUUUUCGUAAAACAAAUGAGACGUAUCAGUACACACCAUUUUAAGUUUGCGAUAGAUUUAAACUUCCAAUCAAAUGUAACUUGAACAAAGUUGAUGACUUAGAGCAUCUCCAGCAGUGAGAUUUAAAAAUUGAUAUACUUAAUAAUAAUUUUGAAAUUUAGGUAUCAAUUUAACAACGUUGCUCCAUCAGUAAUUGUUAUUUUUAUGUUUUAACAAAUUGUAAAGUGACACUUGGGCAAGAGAGGAGAGAGAAAAGAUUUAGCAAUUGUUUUAGUUAUGCAUGGAUCAUUGACAAAUUUGUCAAUUUCAUUUAGCAAUUAUCAGAUUUAGCAAUGGUUUAUGUAUUCUGCUGGAGCAUCAAUUCACCUAAAAAAAUAUUGAUAAAUUUCCAGUUUAGCAAUACUACUAGAGCAUCUCCAGUAGUGUAACUAAAACUAUAGUUAAAUUUAACAAUAAUUAUGAGAUUUAACAAUUGUUAUAAAAAUUUGGCUCCGGCAGUUAUUGCUAAGUUAAGCAAUAUUUUUAACGAAUUAUAAAUUGACACGUGGAGAAAAAAAGAGGGAAAAUAUAGGUAUUCUUUUAGCAAUUCAUGGCUCAGUUGACAAAUUUAUCAAUUUUGUUUAGCAAUUCUUAAAUUUAGCAACCAUUUAGGUAUACUGUUGGCAGUGGCGUAGCCAGACAUCUCACUUAGAAUAGUCAAAUUUGAUUAAUUAGAAAAUUAAUUUAUUUUCAGUCACUCUUUAGCAACAACACAAUUUUAAUUAAAAGAAUGACGCAAACUUAAUUUCAACAAUAUUUGUGUUCUAUCAUUAUCAUCUCUAAUAAACUUUGGAUUAGAAUUUCAUGCACAAUAAAUAUUGGAAAAAAAUAAGAUACUUUUUCUUUUGUUUGAGAGAUAAUGCAUGUUGAUGUAUGGUAAACAUUAAUGUGUUGUUUCCAUUAAGUAAGGUGAAAAAUCCUUAACAUUGAUUGGAUUAAGUAUCUCAAUAGUAUAAAUUUUUAUUUCAUUCCAUUAUUGUUGAUGAAUAUUUAAGACUAAUUAAGAAUUUAUUAGAGAAGAGAGGUCAAUUUAUAUUUUAUUUCCACUGAUAUCCAAUACAAAUGAAGGCUAAUUACUCUUUUUGAAAAUUUGAGAGGGUUCAAUUGAACCCCUUGCCCCCUAGCUAGCUACGCCAUUGACUGUUGGAGCUCCUGUUCAUUCAAAAAGUUGACAAAUUUAAAAAAAAAAAAUUUAACAAUACUACCGGAGAUACUCUUGUUAAAUAAUUAUUAACCCACCCAACGAGGAAGGGCAACAUAAAUUCUAUCACUUCGUAUCAUUGUUAAUCUGAAAGAGAGAUGUGGCCGGGCACGUAUGCAGGCUGCUGCACCACUAAUUACGGAGCCAAAAAGGAAGACAAGAAAAAACAAGGAGACAUACGGCUUGUUUUGAUGAGUGUUCCGUCAAUUAAGCUGCUAAAAAAAUCAAGUAAAUUAAGCUUUUGUAGCAAUUGUAUCGUAUUGGAAACGAAAGCCAGUUUCAACAUUGAAAUGGACUCACGGCAUCAUCAUCUCCAUCGACAUCACACAUGAAACUAAAGAGUUUGAUCACUUUGAUGUAUCAAAUUCCAAUACGAGACUUGGUUUUGGACCAGUCUGUCUAUCUAUUACUACUUGUUGGUCAUAUGCAUACGAGAGCGAUGCUAGAGAUACCAAAUUUUUAUAUAAAAUUAAAAUACCAAAUGACCGUGUCGUGUGCCUUAUCAUUAGUUUUAAAUGUCAUGUCAUCAAUGUGCUACAAUUCUUUGGUCGUGAUUUUUUGAGAUCUGCUUUGUGUUGGCAUGCCAACGCUUCUAAGUUCAGCAUAACUGUCUUGACUUGAUUCUUCGCGCUUUCUCUUGACUUCUGCUCCAGACAACUGGCUAGAUUCUUCUACCAAACCUAAGGGGGGUGUAUUGUAUUUGGAUUUAUACAGACUUAUUUUAAUCAACUGACUUUUUAAAAAGUCUACAGACUCUUUGAAAAGUUCAUAGACUUUCAUUGAUUUCUUAAAACCAUCGAUUUUUAAUCACAGACUUUCACUGAUUGGAAAAAUCUACAGAUUUCAUAUGAAUGUCUUCUGUAGAUUUCUCAAUACUUACAGAGUUACAUGAAAGAAAAAAAAAAAAAGAUGCAAUGACAAACACAUAAUAACACCGAUUAUAAGUUUAGUGCUCAUCUAUCUAAUUUCGAUGCAUACAGUUGUAAUAUUUGAUUGAAAUACAUAAACAUAGGUAUCGAAAAAUAUUAUAGUAACUUAACAACACGCAUAUUUGUACGUAAACCAAAGACACAUGUUCUAAAGUGGGACAUUAGAUGUUCACAAGUUUAAUUCAUAUACGCAAAUAUAAUAAUAUAUGAUCAUGUGGUUCUAAUAUCAAGAGUUAGUAGAUAAUAUUUAGGUUAUCAAGGGUUCCAAGCAUUACAAUUGAAAGACAAUAAAAUGUUAACAUUCAAAAAAUAUUAAAAAGAAUAGGUAGAAUAGAACAUUGAUAGCACAAAAUAUUAUUAAAAAUAAAUAAAAAAUGAUGUAUCGUAGGAUCAACUUAUUCACAUGUAAAGAGAAAGUCUAUCGUAGACUUUUCCAAAUCUUUGCUCUAGUGGAUGGAAAAAUAUUGGAGUUUGGUGUGUGUAAUUUACACUACAAAGUCCACAAUUAUCCAUGAGUUAUUAAUUCCAUAAGUAUGAAUGAUAUUUUGAAUACAUCUGAACUUCUAUUCAUUUUAAAAAGUCUUAAUUGAAUACCCUUAAAUUUUGGUGGAAUUCAUAAUGAUUUUUUAAAAUUUAGUUGAAUACACCCAGAUUUUGAUUGAUUUUUAAAAGUCUGUAUUGAAUACACAUACACUUUCAAAUUCCAUAGACUUUUUUAAAACUUCCACUAAUUCCAUAUACAAUACACCCUCCUAAGAUUACUCUUAGGGUGUUUAAACAACGAAAAUUAAAGGAUAUUUGCUAAGGAUUUCCCCUUAACAAUGGGAUAUUUGCUACAACAAGCUGUAACAAUAAUGUCGAUUUACGGGUUUGUGCUGACAAAUCAGUCUUUAUGGAAUGACGAUGGACUUUGUACCGACAGAUUGGGCUAAUGGAAGUUGCCGACGGAUCAGACUUUUUGCAAUAGACCCAAGGAGUCUUUUUUCGGGUAGGUGCUCCAAUGGAGGCUUGAUAAUUGCGGAGUGCAAAGUGUUUGUCUGCUCAUUCGCCUCGACCUCUUUAUAUAGAGAACUAUAUUCUUGCAGAUCAAGGUAUCAGACAAACUAGGAAAAAGUAUCUCUACAAGAUCACGAAAUAGAUCCUUAAGCAAUCUUCAAAUAUCUCGUCAUGCAUGACCUACGGGAAAUAAAGAUAUUUACAGAUUUUAACCGCAGGUAUCAGUCCAUGCAUCACAAAUCUAAAUGGACUUAGAUACGAUAAGUAGGUUAUUCACCUCAUAAUAUAACUCUAGAUACGGACGUCCUAUAGGUAAUAUAAUUACCUCAUGAAUCAUUCUUGACGUGUAUCACCUCAUAAGUAUAUAACCCACUUAAGGAAUUGUAACACCCUGACCCAAGUGUUAAAAAAAAAAUGAAUAAAAUAAAUAAAGAAAUCCUAAAUCGAAAAUGAGAUAGGAUCUCAAAAUCAAAUAAAACAACAAAACAGUUUUGCUGCGUUUGGAACCUAAAUUUUAUUUUGUUUAUCUGCGGCUGCACCCUAAACUUGAUCGGGCUGCCUACGUACCCUUUUAAAGGGAUCAAGCCACUCGUAGUUCAACUUUUUAUUCUACUUCUCUAUCUUCCCUAACAACAUCUCAUUUACCACCAUAAAUCCAAAAAUCAAAACCAUACUUACGGACUCUUAAGAACCAAUUUAAAAUGUUUUCUUCUAUACCCAUUUAAUCAAAUCAACCCGGCCAUACAAAGCCUCAUGUAUUAUCGAAACUAUACCAAUUUAUUAUCAUUCUAAUUUAGAGUUCCAGGAGAAUAAUUAAACUCAUCAACUUAACCAAACCCCACACUUAACUCGCAUAACAACCUACUCAAGUGCCAAAGAGUGUGUAUAAGUAUGCACACAUACUUAUAUAUAUGUGUAUAUAUAUAUAAGUACAUAUAUAUAUACCCCAUCAAAAUUCUAUUAGAAUAAUAUAAAACUCAACUUAUGUAAAUCAUCAAACAUGAAUUCUUUCACCUUGAACCCAAAUUUACUAAACAUUCUAACUUAGAUUUACUAUGGACAUCCAUUUCGACUAAAACCAAAUCCCAAAUCCAUACAUAACACUCCAAUAUCCACUUCAAUGCCUAAGCACAAUCCAACAAUUGUUUAACAGUAAUAUUCCUAUACCCGGUUAUUAAUUUAACCGUUAAUAUUGUUAAUCUUUGGAAAAUCCGAAAUCUAACCAACCUUAUUCCAAAAAUUGCUAACUUUCCACCAAUGGGCUUCUCUCAUUUUUAGCAAUUUAAUAAGCAUGAAAAACUGCCCAAAAAGUGGCAGCACCGCCGCCAGCUCCGCCGCCGACCACCUCCAAUCAUCACCAAAAUUUGACAGAACCCUCCUCUCAACCCACACAACAACUUCCUAGAAGAAGUCGAAGACCAAUUCUAAGCCUAAAAAGGUCGAUCGAAUCAAAACACAAUAAAGAACCUUAGAGCUUCAAUUAUACAUUUCACCCUAACAAGAUCGAAUUAGACCAAUUCCUUUCGAGGGAUUACUCACCUUGAUGAGAGCUAUAAGAUGAGCCAAGAAUCACGAACUUUGAUGGCCGGAGGAGCAAUUACCGAUGAGUGGACCAUCCGGCGUUUCGGCGGGAUUACUCACGUCCGGCGGCGUCAUCGACCCGGUCACCGGCUUAAGAAGGAAGAGGGGGCGACAAGGGUCCGAACGGGACCAGUCCGACGAUCUCUGGUGGCCGGACGGCGGCAGGUGAUGGUGGUGAAGCCGGCCGGUCCAGGGAAACUCGGGAGGAAGGAGAGAGGAAGGAAAGAGAGUGGGGGGUGUGUUGGGCUGCUCCACACACCCGGUCCAACUUUAAUACCCACACCCAAAAUAAAGCCUAUCAAAAAUUUACCCCCAACCAACAUAGUAAUUUUCGUUUUUAGACCAUUACUUCUUUAUACGAACUCCGAUUUAAGCGUGCCACAUGUCCACGAGCUCGUAUUAACGUCCUCUAUGACUUCCAUAAAGGAAGUUUUCCCAAAUUAUCGACUUAACGAAAAGUCAACUUUCUGGGUCCUUUACGGUAAAACGAUUACAAGAAACAAUAAUUGAAAAUUUCCUGGAAACUUUAUAAAUUCAAAGAACAUAGCUCGUCGCUCCAGAAAAUAAUCCGGGCAUACAGGUGAGCUCGUAUAAACAUGUACCACGACUUCGGAGUUUUAAAUCCAAUAUUUACCGUUUUCAGAAAAACUCGAAAACAAACUCGAGUAAUCGCUAUUUAAAUCUCUGAGCGCGAAUAAAGAAAAAUCUGCGGUAACUCAUAGCCCUAAACAGUAACCUUUUAGGUACGAGGUAUUACAAAUCCCUAAGGUAAUACAAUCGGACUCCAUCCUUGCAUGCCUGUGGACGCCAUGCACUACUUUAUGCAUUCAAAUGCCAAUAAGGAAAGUAAUCUCCUUAUAACAAUAUAAUUGUAGAACGUCAUGCAUGCAUUGCUCUCUUUCCUUAAUCAAAUAGAUUCGAGGAUGUUAUCACCUCUUCAAACACACGUCUCUUUGUGCCUUGAUUGCCAAUGUGACUUAAAUGUAUGCUUUACCUCUAGGUUCCUCUAUUUUGCAAGAUUCUCCAAUAUUGCUCAAUCUUGAUAUCCAAACAAUCUACCAUUAAUUACCAAAUAAUCGAUAAUCAACGAAAAGUCGAUAACUACUCGGAUUUGCCUCCAAGAUUGCUUGACCUCCAAGUAGGCAUGUAUAGCCUUAGAGAAAUUUUUCUGUCCUCCAGGAGGACCACCUCACCAUGACACUUGGUCCUCUUUGCCAAUACAAAACCGACACGUGGCUUUUUUUAACUUACUCAAUUCAAGAUAAUUUUACCGUGUGGUGAAAAUUCUACCAAAUGCUAAACAAAAAAAUUUCUCUCCGUCAGCUACUGCCGUUAACCUCAUCCAACAAAACCCAAAACCUGUGGCUUUUAUCUUUUUCUCCCAAAUCUCUUGCUCUCGUCCUCGAGACCGGACUCCGACUCUCUCCCUUACGCGAAGUAAGUUUGAAGGAAAUUGGAAUCCCCAAAUAAGGUAUAUAGGCAAUUUUGAAGGAAAUCAAAAGCCCCAAAUCAGGUAUCGAAAUAGUAGAUGAAAUUUCAGUCAUGAACCCCUUUUGUCAUUUUUGUGUUGAGUGUUUUUGUAGCUAGCUAGCAUCUCUAUCUCUAAUAGCUCGAUUUGUAAAGAUUAAGAUAAUGGACUGUUUCUCACUUGCAAUUGGGAUUGGUCUAUCAAUAUCAGUCCUUUCGUUUAUCCCCUUUCACUCAAAGCCGAUGAGUUUGUUCUUAUUCUUAAUUUUGAUUGAACUGAAUUUUGGUUUUUAUGAUUUGAUUAAAUCUAACGCAUACAAUUUUUUUAUAUUUGAUUAUAUCUUUUAUUAAAGUGUGAAAUCUUUACUCAUGGAUUUGGUAAUGUUGUAUGGUUCUCUGCUCAUAGGUGUCAAAGAACGAACUCAUUUUCUGAUGUAUAUGACAAAGAAUGCUGAUAUUUACAUAGUUCAGGAUGUUAUAGCUUUCAAGCUUCUUACAAGUAUAACUUGCAUGCUAAUUUAUGACGAAGAAAUGUGCUUUGCAAUUCGGUCUUUUAAGUCUGUGGCUUUACUUUACUUCUUUUGUAUAAUUUCAAAUGUAUAAAAAUACACUCAUGAUUAGCUUCUUUUUUCCUCUGAUAAUGAUAUUGUGUAUAAAAUAGAGUUUGACAAAAAUUGAUCUGGGGGCUUAGAGUUGAAAUAGAAAAUGGAGUGGCAAUGUUGAGAGGGAAAGGGGCUCUAGACAAGAACGUGGGAGUUGCCUUCUAAUUUGCAUACUGGCAUGUCCAUACUAGUUGCUAGAGAAGAAGGCUCUCAAUCCAUUUUUGUAUCAUAUGGUGGUGGUGGAGAAUGGCUAAGUGGACUCCAACACCGCAAAAGCCUAUCUAACUCAGGUUAUAGUACCCAUUUUGGGUGAGUUAACCAGAAAUCGCAAUGAGGCUGAUGCAACUCCUGUGAUUUUGUUGACCAACAUCUUUCAGAAUUUUCUCUUGGAUCCCAUGGUUCUCUUUGGUUCUGUGAGUAACUUUUGGGAAAGAGAAAAAAAUAAAAAAUACAGGUAGUUGAUUUAGUAUGUUUUUCCUUUGUACAUGUUUAGACCAAUUUUGAGAAUUGAUUAUCUCAAGAGGUAAGGUUUCAUGUCCCCCUCUUUGUAUUUUUUUUCUCAAUUAUUAAUAAAAGUUUUGAGGCUUCAAUUCAAUCAUAGCUACUAUGCUUGUAAAUGAUCUAUAAUGGUGGCCUCACUUGACCAUGUAAAACAUGGGUCAGGUACCAAUUCCAACCACUCCAAAGUCAUCAAUAGAAAAAAAAGAGAAAAAAAAAAAGUUUAUGAAGUCAUUGAAUCACUAAACAUACCAUCUUUAACAAAACUAGACUCAUUUCAAUUGAGCAUUAUCAGACAAAUAACAUUUGAAGGUCUUCAAGAGUAUAAAAUAACAAUUCAAAAUCCAAUCAUUGUCUUAAUGAGUAUUUCUAGAACUACUGUUGCUAAUUGUUUUUCCACAGAUAGCAUAUCAAAAUUAAGUCUUCUCUUGCUCCCAACAAAAAAAAAUCAAGUCUUCUCUCCAGCAUAUCAGCAUAUAUACAACAUAGCAGCAUAUAUACUGUUAGACUUCCUUUUCCCUACACAAGUAUAUGAUACAAACAAUAAAUUAAAGAAAAAUAGAAGACUGAUCAAACUAUAACUGUUAAACAUUUUAUAUAUGCUUAUAACGCAAAAUCACUUACCAGAACCUUGACCUUUAGGUGCCUUUUUAUUUUGUUUCUUCUCCAUUGCGGCUUUCAUUCUUUUAUUGCUCAUACCUUUUGGCCACACUCCUGCUGGAUUUAGUAUCGGUUGUUCACCACAUAAAGGUCCCUUCUUGUGAGUACCACCAUUAGAGGUAUUAGCAUCAUAACCCUCAUUGAUUCCUUCAUUUACAUCUCCCUCAAUAACUAACUUCUUCAUAUUCUUUUCAAUUAAAUCUUCUGCUUCUAUCAACUUUUGCAAUGCAAUGUCACUACCAGUAGUUGUCUCUGCUCCCUUACUGAUUAUAUCAAGCCUUUCGCAUCAAAGUAUUCCUACGCAAUGUCACCGUUGAUUUCUGCUUGACCUGUAAUGAUGCACUAUCUUCCUUUACUCCUUUCUUUGCAUCUUUUGUCCACCUCUUUAGUAUAUACUCUGCUGGAAUUUGAGUAAUAUUUUUUACAUUUGACACCCUCAAAGCAUGACGGCACAACCAACCCAUAGAUUCAUACAUCUGACAACUACAAGAAAUAGACUUAUUUGAAGAAUUGAACUCGACAGUGUACACUCUUUUAUGACCCUCUUCAUUAAGUUCAAAUUUCUGUAGUGUUCCAUCACUUCUAGCUUCCUCCAUCUUCACUGCCAAGCUAGCAAUAAACUCGAACUCAAAUAAAUUAUAAAUCUUUCGGGUGUAGACCAUACCAGCUUGCUUCUUAAUUCCACUACUUUUUGCAGCUCUAGAAGGUAUCCCGUUAUUGCAUCGAAAAGUCUCUUCCAAUUCACUUGAGCGCAUCUUUUCUGCCUGUUUAUCAUAAUGAUCCACAAAUUCAGUAAGACUCAAUGUUUUAGUAGACAUGAGGGUGAAUACAUUGUUUGUGCUCUCACUUCUUUGAGUAGAUAAUAUACCGGCAGAGAAUGUAUCUUUGCUGAAUAGUGCACACCAUUUUUCACGAAGAUCAUAAAGUGUCUUGAGCCAUGUCUUCUCUUUCUCUGUAAAGUCAAACUUCUCUAUAAUUUCUUUCCAUGUAGACUCGAAUUCAUAUUUUGUCACAUGUCCGAAAAGCCACUUCCUGAAAAGCUCACUAAAUUCAGGAUUUCUAUAAUGCGACUUCAAGUUGUCUCCCGCAUUCUUUGAAAUAUGCCACAAACAUAAUCGAUGACGUGUCUCAGGAAAAACCUUCUCGAUGGCAUUUGCCAUUGCCUGACACCGAUCAGUGAAAAUAGUCUUAGGGUUUUUACCUUCCAUUGCUUCUAAGAAUGUCUCAAAUAACCAAAUAAAAGAAGCAGUCGUCUCAUCUAGCAAAAAUGACACAGNNNNNNNNNNNNNNNNNNNNNNNNNNNNNNNNNNNNNNNNNNNNNNNNNNNNNNNNNNNNNNNNNNNNNNNNNNNNNNNNNNNNNNNNNNNNNNNNNNNNNNNNNNNNNNNNNNNNNNNNNNNNNNNNNNNNNNNNNNNNNNNNNNNNNNNNNNNNNNNNNNNNNNNNNNNNNNNNNNNNNNNNNNNNNNNNNNNNNNNNNNNNNNNNNNNNNNNNNNNNNNNNNNNNNNNNNNNNNNNNNNNNNNNNNNNNNNNNNNNNNNNNNNNNNNNNNNNNNNNNNNNNNNNNNNNNNNNNNNNNNNNNNNNNNNNNNNNNNNNNNNNNNNNNNNNNNNNNNNNNNCUCCUCUUCUCUAUCCGAACACUGAACCCAGUUCUAGCACCAUAGUCAUUGUAGAGGUUGUAUGCUUCCUUCUCACUAUUGACAAUUACUCCCAACAGGUUGUCAUUGUUACUAGCUUGACGAUUCACAAUAAUUGGAUCUUUUCCCAAAUCAGUUGUCAUGCAAUACUCUUCAUCAUCUUCUAAGUCAAUCACUGUAUGUAGGCAUGUUAGUGAAUGAAUUAGCAUGUAAAAUGUAUAGCUACUGUAAAAGAAAAAAAUUGAUAGAACAUGAAAAUAAGGGGUCGAACCCAGCAAAAUCAAGAACAUGAUUAAAAAAGGUUUCUUUACCUUGGUGAUGAUCAUCUACAUCUAUAUUCAUUGUUGGAUAUAUAGAGGAACUCAGUGUCAUAGAAACGAACAAUAUAGCAAUAUAGGUGAUGAGAGACUAUGACAUAAAAGCUGUUCUAUGGUUUCUUUACCAUAAUAUCUGAACGACAUGUAGAAUACAUGUUGAUAACGGCAAACAGAGAACUCCGUCGGGUUUGUCAUCAAUUUUUUUGUUUGGCAUUUGAUAGAAUUUUUACCACACGAUAAAAUUAUCCUGAAUUGAGUAAGUUAAAAAAAAACCACGUGUCGAUUUUGUAUUGGUAAGGAGGACCAAAUGUCAUGGUGAAGUUGUUCUCUUGGAGGACAGAAAAAUUUCUCUAUAGCCUUAAUAUCAAAUAUCUGACGAGAUACUGGAUGUCAUGUCAUCAUUCAUUAACUAAUAAUUUUAUUCUAAUGCAUGUCAUUUCAUCCGACUUCAAAAAAAUUGCAAGUCAUUACAUCUUAAGUAGAAAAUGUCGUUGUUUCCCAAGCCCCAAUCAAAUCAACCAUCCUUUUCUCUUUUGUUUAGGGAUAGGGUUUAGUAUUUAAAAAACAACAUAAAACCCAAAAUGUUAUGUGACAAAAUAACUGAAAUAAUUUUUCAUGAAGAAAAUCCACAUGUCUAAAUUUGAUUGGAAUGUAGGACCACAUCAGAUUGUCAUGUGGUCCUCCCGUAGCACAGAAAAAUUUCUCCAUCAUAUGGUAUGUACUUUUUGGUAUCCACCUCUAGCAUUUUUCUAUGCAUAUACCUCAAAGUUAAUUUGCAGAAUUUUGUUUUUCUCUUUCACUGAGCAGGAUUCAAAUUUGCCAACCACUUUUUACUUGACCAUCUAGUAACCACUAUCUAGAUUGGUGACACAUGUCUGUUCAAAUUGUUUUAUUUUAUUGUUCAUAAAAAAAUGAGUAUGUGUCACCAAUCUAGAUGGUGAUCAUUAAGGUGGUCAAGUAAAAGAUGGUUGGUAAAUUUGAAUCUCAUCGAGCAUGCUUGCAAAUGUUGGAGAAAGAAAUAAAAGCUUGACAAAAGGGAGAGUUUUUAAAAUUAGUAAAUCCACAAAUUAGUAAAGUUUUUAAAAUAUAUGAAAUUGGAAAACAUUGAGGUACAUGUGAUCGAUGAUAGGACGAGAAAUUUCAUUAACACAUGGUUAAUUACUAGAUACCCACAUUUUAUUUUUGAAUCUUUUUUAAAUACUAUUUUACCCUUGAUUUGAGAAUAUUGAAAUUAAACCAAACAAAUUAAUGUUAUACCAGAGUCUAGUCUAAACAGCAGAACAAUAUUCCAUAAUCUUUUUUAUUAACUUAUGAAUUCCGAAUGGAUCCAACAACAACAGCCAAAUUGAGUAGAUAGUCGAGCUAAAUUGACCGAUAUAGGUAGCAAUCCCGCUAACUUAUUUUACAUCUUCAUAAUAAGCUUUUCUUUUUUUUUUUUUUUUUUUCUUUUUUUUUUUUUUUUAUUAAACGGGGUUUAGAACCCAGCCUAUUCAGGGAAGCUCAGCCCUAAGCCCGAAUUAUUAUUAAUCAAAUGAGAAUAAGCUGUUUAUAGAUAAUAGGAUCCUUCAGAAUAUAUAUGUAAUAAAGAGCUUAAACGAUUCCUAAUAGAUUUGUGUAUAGCGGUACUAAACCAUUGAUGGUGUAUCACCGGACUAGAAAAGCCUUUGAUAGAAACAAACGAACCCUACCCGGAGGAAAGGAUGCGGGGGUUCGGCUCUUUGUCGAUGGAGUUCAGGUUCAAGUGGAGGGUCGCAGCGGUUCGAGGAGAGUCGGCGGUGCGAGAUCAGCAUUCAUUUGGUGUUGGCGGCAACUGGUCGGUGGCGACGACGGGGUCUGGUUUUCAAGUCGGGUCUACUUGAUCCGAUGCGGUUUCGCCCCUUUUGUGAUCGUUCUCGGAUCCAAAGGCUGCUCUGGCCGUCAUGGUUGGGCACCGAAACAAGUCGGCACGUCUGUGCUUUAGGCAGACAGAGGUGGUGAUGCGGUCGGUGGCAACUGGCAAGCAAGGGAGGACAUCGACGAGACAUUGGAGGUUCCCCUGCAGCUCUGAACUUUGGAGUGGGCUUCAUGGUAAUUGGGCCUUGGCUUCUGCUUUGGCCCAAUCCUAUUUUUCAUUUCUGUUUUGUUUUAUUUUUCAAUUUCUACAAAAUUUCCUUGCUUUUUGUAAGGAGCUAUUGGUAUUUAGCUCAGCUAUUUACAAAAUUUCCUUGUUUCUGUAAGGAGCCAUAGAACUUAGUUUCUGCCUAUGUCUAUGCAUGUUAGACUUCCUAGUUUUAGGCUUUAUGAGCUUAAUCAUAUAUGGGGUGGUGCUAGUAUAUAUACCACGUCCUCUAACUUGUUCUUGUUAGCAAGGAAAAAUAUGUAUCCGUGUCGUCUCAGACAUUUGAAAUUGAAAUGAAAUUACAACGAUUAUUUGAAAAAAAAAAAACGGUUGAUAGUGUUUAACUCUAUUAAGAGCAAAAAUAAACUUUCUGAAAAAGAAAAAAAAAAGAAAAAAAGGUACAGUCAACCGAUUCAACCUCUUUAUUUAACAAAUGAGUAGAAAUGUAGAAUACAAGAUAGGAAGUAUUCUAGAUUGAUGUUAUAUGAUUUAGGCAAGCGACACUUUAUUAAAUUUAUUCUAAUUAGUUAAGUUAACAUGUAUCUAGCAAUACAGAUUUUCGCCAGGAGAAACAUUAAGUUGGGUACAGUAGUCCUUAUAAUAGUUGAUACGAGCUUGAACUUUGUCCGGAGCUUUGCCAUCACAUUCAACGGCACCGUUGAUGGCUCGAGUUGUGGCUCCGAAUCCUUGGCUUAUAACAGAGUGAACAUUGUUCAUCCAAAACCACAACCCUGUCUUGAACGCCACCACGGAGUCCGAAGCCACCGUUUCCGGAGAGUUUAGGCCGUCAAAGCCAAUAGCAUUUCCGGCGGCUCCGUAGUUGUAGUUCCAGGUGAGUUGGAGUGGUCCACGGCCGUAGUACUGCUUGGCAGGGUUGCAUGGGUAGUUUGUGAAGGAUGUGUCGCAGUAGGUGGCCUUUUCUAUCUCUUCUACGUAGCAAAAAUCUGCAUAAAUCCAUCAUUAACAAAAUAGUACUUGGAUUUGUAUCCAAAAAAAAGUACUUGGAUACACACACAAGAAGUUACAGUUAAAAUACUAGAUUAUUGGAUGAUGAGAGACAAUGAUGAUAUUCUU